UCUUGCAAUUAUUAUGGCCUUAAAUAAUAGUUGCUCUUAACUGGCAUAAGCUCGUGUUGCCAAGAGAAACAGUUCCACCUUCCCUGGCAGCCUGUUCACAUUCCUGUUGCCUCCUCCACCUUACCAGAAUGAGAGUAUCUGCAGCUGAGCAUUGACCUGGGAUGAGGAACUGACACAAGAAAGAGGACAAUGCUCCCUUCUUCUCUAUGGACCUUUCUGACCAUCACAGGAAUGCCACACCUGACUCUGCAGGGGCAGUGUUUGCCAUUCCUGUCUGGCACACAGAUGCUGAGUCAUCAUGUUUAUGAAAAUCAUACAUCACUAUCUGGAAAUCGUAUAAUUUAUUUAGAAAUGCUGACUGCCACACUAUAUCUGCUAAACUAAUCAAGCACUAAACUGGCCUUGAUCAAUGUGCUUCAGUCAAGGGUGUUGCAAUUUACUUGCUCUGACCUUCCCUGCACGUUUAAGAGUCUUAAAUGAACAGGGACAGUCAAUGGCGGUUACAGCAUUUAAGAAACUCAUGGAGAAUGAGGAAGCUAAAUAACUACAAGGAUGUAG